GAGCACGUAGGUGGGUUUGUAAGUCAGAUGUGAAAGCCUUCUGUUCAAAGGAAGAACGGCAUCUGAAACUGCAGAUCUUGAGUGUAGGAGGGGAGAGUGGAACUUCUGGUGGAGCGGUGGAAUGCAUAGAUAUCAGAAGGAACGUCGGCGGCGAAAGCAACUCUCUGGCCUAUUACUGACACUGAGUGUGCGAAAGUUAGGGGAGCAAACGGGAUUAGAUACCCCGGUAGUCCUAACCGUAAACGAUGGGCACUAAGUAGAGGGGU
rnacentral:rRNA from 1 species